rnacentral:rRNA from 1 species
AUUGAACGCUGGCGGCAGGCCUAACACAUGCACGUCGAACGAGUGGCGGGCUGGUGAGUAAUGUCUGGGAAACUGCCUGAUGGAGGGGGAUAACUCCUGGAAACGGUAGCUAAUACAGCAUACCAUCAGAUGUGCCCAUAUGGGGUUAGCUAGUUGGUGGGGUAACGGCUCACCAAGGAUACGAACCCUAGAUGGUCUGAGAGGAUGACCAGCCAGCCUGGAACGGCGACACGGUCCAGACUCCUAGGGCAGGCAGCACUGGCGAAUAUGGCACCGUGGGAGCAAGCCUGAUGCAGACAUGCCGCGUGUAGGACGUAGGCAUUCGGGUUGUAAAGUACUUUCAGCGGGGAUGCGUUACCCGCAGAAGAAGCACCGGCUAACUCCGUGCCAGCCGCCGCGGUAAUAC